GGAAGCGUAGCUCAGUCGGUAGAGCAGCUGACUCUUAAUCAGCGGGUCUGGGGUUCGAACCCCCACGCUUCUACCA
rnacentral:tRNA from 1 species